UACCAGACUCCUACGGGAGGCAGCAGUGGGGAAUAUUGCACAAUGGGGGAAACCCUGAUGCAGCGACGCCGCGUGAGCGAUGAAGUAUUUCGGUAUGUAAAGCUCUAUCAGCAGGGAAGAAAAUGACGGUACCUGACUAAGAAGCCCCGGCUAACUACGUGCCAGCAGCCGCGGUAAUACGUAGGGGGCAAGCGUUAUCCGGAUUUACUGGGUGUAAAGGGAGCGUAGACGGCUGUGCAAGCCAGAUGUGAAAGCCCGGGGCUCAACCCCGGGACUGCAUUUGGAACUGUGUGGCUGGAGUGUCGGAGAGGGAGGCGGAAUUCCUAGUGUAGCGGCGAAAUGCGUAGAUAUUAGGAGGAACACCAGUGGCGAAGGCGGCCUGCUGGACGAUGACUGACGUUGAGGCUCGAAAGCGUGGGGAGCAAACAGGAUUAGAUACCCGAGUAA
rnacentral:rRNA from 1 species